UACAGAGGGUGCAAGCGUUAAUCGGAAUUACUGGGCGUAAAGCGUGCGUAGACGGUUACAUAAGUCGGGUGUGAAAGCCCCGGGCUCACCUGGGAAUUGCAUUCGAGACUGCGUAGCUAGGGUGCGGAAGAGGGAAGCGGAAUUUCCGGUGUAGCGGUGAAAUGCGUAGAUAUCGGAAGGAACACCAGUGGCGAAAGCGGCUUCCUGGUCCAGCACCGACGUUCAGGCACGAAAGCGUGGGGAGCAAACAGG
rnacentral:rRNA from 1 species